GGGUGCGGGUCCCGGCAGCGGCGGCAGCAGCCUUGUUGCUGCUGUUGUCUGCAUGAGGUCAUUCAGAGCCAGACUAGGGGAAAUCCAGUGAAGACUGCUGGGAUGCCUUCCAUCUUGUACCUGCAUACCAGGAACUGGAUCAUAUGAUGGUUACCCAUGGGCUGAAGGGUGUGCAGAUUGAGAGCAAGGGCCGCCUGUCUCAGAGGAGGACUAUGGCAGCUACACCAGUGUGUGGCCACAAACAAACUGGGCAACACCAAUACCAGCAUCAUCCUCUACGGUAGGUGUCCUGGUUUCUUUUUGCAGCAAGGUGUCAUAAAGAGGAGGAAGAAGGAGAAGAGAAGGAGGAAGAAGAAGAAGAGGAGGAGGAGGAGGAAGAAGAGGAGGAGUGGCCAGUGAUGGAAGGGUGUGGGUUUUAUUUAGCAGUGCCAACCCAACAAGGUGCCAGAUGGCACAAGCUCUGAGCUGUGAGGAUACAUCAGAGGAUGACAAGGAGACCUGCAUUGGUCCAUGCAGGAGGGCACUGCUUGGCACUUCUUGGUGGCAGUCACCUUGGGUGUUUAGGGAUGAGUAGCAAAUGGUGAAGAGACAGACAGGACAUCAUUGGAAUGCAGGCCCAAGGAGUGGCCCCAUGCAGGUAAGGAUACACUCUGGGGACACAGUGUAGGGUAUUUGCAGGUUGUCCUAUCGGGAAGGAUACAGGCAGUAGUUAAAGGGCGCAGGCAGUGGCAGGUUGGGAAGCAUAGGUGUCAAGUGACAUAGUUGUCAAGUUGGGUAUUGCAGGUGUCAGGCUGAGUGGUUUAGAUGGCAAUUGAGGAAGAGUAGGUGGCAGUUUGGCUAGUGUAGGUGUUAGCUUGUGUAAUAAAGAUGUUAGGUUUGGUAGUGUCAGUGUCACUAGGUAUUAUAGGUGUCAGGUUGGAUACUGCUGGUGGCACUUUGCGAGCUAUUGGUAUUAGGUCAGGUCUACAGGUGGCACUUUGGGAACAGUAGGUGUUAGGAUGCGUAGUGUAGGUGGCACUUGAGGUAGCAUAGGCAUUAGAUUGGUUCUCAUAGGUGGCACUUUCAGUACUAGGUGUUAAGUGUUAGGUUGGAUAUCAUAGAUAGUAUAUUGAGUAUAGUAGGUGUCAGGCUGAGUGGAGUAGGUGGCACUUGAGGUGGCGUUAGAUUGGAAAUCAUAGGUGUUAGGCUGGAUGCUGUUGGUGGCACUUUGGGUAGUAUAGAUGUUAGGUUGGAUGCUGUAGGUGACACUUUGGGUACUAUGGGUGUUAGGCUGGGUAGAGUAGGUGUCAGGGUGGGUAGUGUACGUGGCACUUCAAAUAUUGUAGGAGACAGGCCUGGUAGCAUAGGUGGCACAUUAGGUAGUGUUGGUGGCACUUGAGUUGGCCUUAGGUUGGAUAUCAUAGGUGUUAGGUUGGGUAGUCUCAGUGUUAUCUUGGGAACUGCAGGUGUUAAGUUAGGUAUCAUAAGUGGUACUUAAGGAACCGUAGGUGUUAGGCUGGGUAUCAGAGGUGGCACUUUGGGAACCAUAGGUGGUAGGCUGGGUAUCAUAAGUUGUACUUAGGGAACAAUACGUGUUAGGUUGGGUAUCAUAGGUGGCAGUUAGGGAACAUAGG